rnacentral:rRNA from 1 species
CAUGCAAGUCGAACGAAGUUUUUCCUUCGGGAGAAACUUAGUGGCGGACGGGUGAGUAACGCGUGGGUAACCUGCCCUGUACAGGGGGACAACAGCUGGAAACGGCUGCUAAUACCGCAUAAGCCCUUAGCACUGCAUGGUGCAUAGGGAAAAGGAGCAAUCCGGUACAGGAUGGACCCGCGUCUGAUUAGCCAGUUGGCAGGGUAACGGCCUACCAAAGCGACGAUCAGUAGCCGAUCUGAGAGGAUGUACGGCCACAUUGGGACUGAGACACGGCCCAGACUCCUACGGGAGGCAGCAGUGGGGAAUAUUGCACAAUGGAGGAAACUCUGAUGCAGCGACGCCGCGUGAGUGAGGAAGUAUUUCGGUAUGUAAAGCUCUAUCAGCAGGGAAGAAAAUGACGGUACCUGACUAAGAAGCACCGGCUAAAUACGUGCCAGCAGCCGCGGUAAUACGUAUGGUGCAAGCGUUAUCCGGAUUUACUGGGUGUAAAGGGA